AAUACUGCUGAAGCAAUUGUACAUACACAGGUAAAUAAAUAAACCUUGACCUAUCUGACACCUUAUACAAAAGUUAACUCAAGAUGCAUAAUGGACUUAAAUACAAAAUGUUAUGCUAUAAAAUUUUAAGGAAAUAAACACAGGAGAAUAUCUUCAGGACAUAGGACUAAGGAAAGAGUUCUUAGACCUGACACCAAAAGCAUAAUUCAUAAAAGGGAAAGUUAAUAAAUUAAACUUUAUCAAAAUGAUAAAGUUUUACUUUGCCAAAACUCUGCAGAGAUCAUACACUAAAUUCUUAUAUGUAUUUUGGCCUAUUUCUGUAACAUUGAUCUGCUUUUCUGUUCAUGUGCCAGUAGCACAGCCUUAAAGACUAAUACAACUUUAAACAGGCACAAUGAAUAUAGACAAUGAAUAAAUGAACCUUUAAAAAUUAUGUAUUUUGUUUUGUGAAUAUCAUAAGUAUAUGUCAUUGCAUUUUUUACAUUCAAGGUGUUGGUUUAGUCAGUGUAUGUGUUUAAAAUACAGCAUAAUUUUGGUAACUGUUAUAGGAUUUCCUAGUUUUUUAAUGUGUUCCCUAAAAUAUGUAGAAGUUUCCUAGUCUUCUUGGUCCCUGAGAUGCCUUGCUGGAAGAUGGUAUAAAAAUGGUAUAAUAAAAGAAUAGAAAACAAGAGGAAGUGAUGCAUGAGCAAUGAGCCCUUAAAUAUUAGGGACUAAAAACACGGCCCCACAAAUGCUAGGCUCCAGUCCACACCCCUGAUAGGACCUUAAGUUCUUUGUUGGUCUAUCCUCAGCACUGAGAAUUAUACCUGCCACAUAGUAGGUGCUCAACAAUUUUGUGUUAAAUGUAAUUUCCUGGGGAAGAAAUGAAUCAGAAGUAAGAGAAAGGCAGAGUCCACCCUAGCACUUCCACUGGGUAGGGAACUAUUGGUAGAAUUUCCUCCUUUUCUAUAGAAAUGGGAGACGUAGCCUUGCUUCCCCUCCAAAUUUCCAGGUGGUCUUUCUCACUUGACCCAUAAGCAAGCGGCAUAGCCACCAAACAACACACGUUGCUUGUUGGAGGUAGUGAGACUGAGUCCUGGAGCCAGGGAUGUGGUCACCUUUCCCUGCAGUCCUUUCCCACAGUGGGAAAUAAUCUUGGAUUUGAUCUGCCAUCUGCGCACAGGGAGGCAUCAAGUUGUUGGCUGGGUAUCAGCUCUGAUCCAGGCUGGGCUCAGUUAGGCGGUUCUCCUGUUCUCAUCCAUGUGCCUGUGGCCCGUAGGGGCUUGACUCUGCUCCACAUGCCUCUCCUCCUCUUCUGAAAACAUCAGGCCAGUCCAGGCAUGUCCUUCUGGAACAAAGCUGGAGUCAGCCCAAAGACAGGGUCCGGUUCCAUUCCCAGAGCCACCAAGAGCUGGGAGAUCAGAAGUAUUUCUCUCCGAAGCUUUGGUGCUCCACGCUAUACCCACGCAGACCUCCCAACCUGCAUUUCUGUGGAGGCUGUGAUCACUGACAGGCUGCCUAUUUUUCGUGG
rnacentral:lncRNA from 10 species